rnacentral:lncRNA from 1 species
AAAGGCGUAAGCACCAAAGUGAUGAAUGCUAAGUGAAGUGUGAUAUGAUAGCAUGCUUCAAGCAUGACCUUCUUUCGCGUUUGAUAAUAGUGAAGUGAUUCAAUGACGCUACGCACGGGUUACUCGUGGUGGUAUGAGGUGACUUGAUAUCAGAGUAAGGCCGGCAAUGUUCCCUAAAUCUCCAUAUGAUAGGAGGGGAGUUAAGUGGAAAGUGUGAUGGAUGGGUCGCAUCCCCCUUGAAAUUUAAUGUAUUGUAAAGAGAAAAUAAUGAAUCAUGCCAUGCAAGGCAAGUGCCUAUUAAAAGCCCCAAAGCCCAUUGGGGACUGUGUGUGUGAGUGCAAGGGCAUUACCGAAUGGGACACUCAUUGUCAUUGCCCUCUCUCCCAAGUGAUGGUAGAAAUCAUAAACAAUAGGAUUGGUUUGGCCUGAUGAAUAGGGCUUCUGCUUUGGGAGUAGGUGAAUCUGAGUAAGUGGUUAACAAUUGAAUGUGUGACUGUGAAUGCUGGCAGUAAUACUGGUUUUAUGAUAAUCAUGCUAUGCGAUAUGCCAUCUUUGAUGAAUGUGUUGGAAAGAUUGCUAACAUGAUACUUUUUCCAUUAUGAUUGCUUAUAGAUAAAAGAAUUAUUUAUAAUGCCAUAAUAGAUAUGUCAUAGAUGCAUAACUACUAGAUCCUCAUACUGGGUUUUACAGCUCAUUUCCCAUCUUUGUAGGGUAGAAGCUGCAGGUCAGGAGCUAUUGGUGCGAUGGUCGAUCUGUUGAGGAAGAUUCCUGCUGGUCGAAAAGAUCUUUUGCUUGUAUGUACUUAUUGGCCUUGGGCCUUAUUCUUGGUUGUUCUUUUGGAACUAUGUAUUUCUGUAUUUUAGGCCUUUGGUGCCUUGAACAGUUGUAUUACUCCAAGAUAUUUAUGUAAUGG